GAUGAACGCUAGCGGCAGGCUUAACACAUGCAAGUCGAGGGGCAACACGGGUAGCAAUACCUGGUGGCGACCGGCGCAAGGGUGCGUAACGCGUGAGCAACAUGCCCUAUACAGGGGGAUAAUCCAGGGAAACUUGGUCUAAUAUCCCAUAGUAUUUAGAGGUGGCAUCACCACUAAAUUAAAGCUUCGGUGGUAUAGGAUUGGCUCGCGUGACAUUAGCUGGAUGGUGGGGUAACGGCUCACCAUGGCGAUGAUGUCUAGGGGUUCUGAGAGGAAGACCCCCCACACUGGGACUGAGACACGGCCCAGACUCCUACGGGAGGCAGCAGUGAGGAAUAUUGGACAAUGGAUGGAAAUCUGAUCCAGCCAUGCCGCGUGCAGGAAGACGGCCCUAUGGGUUGUAAAACUGCUUUUAUAUGGGAGCAAUAAGGUUUACGCGUAGACCGAUGAGAGUACCAUAUGAAUAAGCAUCGGCUAACUCCGUG
rnacentral:rRNA from 1 species